GGCUGCUGCUCCUGCACCCGCACUGCAGGGCCUGACGAGGGCGGGAAGGUGCGGGCCGGCCUUGGGGCUGCACCUCAGCCUCCCUGGGGGUUCUGUGAACAACCUCGUGGUGUCUUGGAUACGCAGUAAACAGCACAUUUAAUGUGCUUCGUGCAGACAUCGGCAUGCUUUCCGUCACCGUGCUGCGGGCGGGCUUGCACUCCUGUGACUUACGUAAAUGGAAUCGCCCUUCUCCGGCCUCUUCCCUGGAGUGGCUAUUUUGAGACUGGGUCCUGCCCUCUGCGCCCAGUGGCCUCUGCUCCCCAGCCACACUGGCUCCUCUGGUUUGGGACCCUUCAGGAGCGCUGAAGUGCGCGGACCCGUCCUGGACAACGUGUUUUCUUGAGUGAACACCUUGUGGGGUGUGAAACCAUGCGACUGCUGACCUCUGACUCUUGACGCUGCCUCACGGACCCCAAAAACCAUCCUCGCCGACCGGAAACAGAUGGUGGAUUUUGUUUUUUCUGCAUCAACUGACAUUGUCUGCUGCAUUCUGAUAGUAUGGUGAAUAACAUGGAGACUAAGUUUAACCCUGUCUUCUUGGGGCUCUCCAACUGGAAACCAAAGUCACUGGCCUCUAUCAGCGCUGUGAACUUCCCUCCAGGGACUACUACAACUACAUCCCAGGAUUUUGAUGUCUU